AGCACUGCUGCAGGAAGGACCCACAGAGCACAAGAGACACCCUUUGGGGAAGGAACUUGAAAAGCUCCUGCUGACUCACACCCUGCCAAGGGGCACCACCGAGUGUUUUCACAGGCUUGAACUUCCCACUCAAGAAGAGAGAUUUGGAAUUUACUGGAGGGUUGUUCUAUAGGAGGAGAGGUACUCAGCACCCACACUAUGCUCUGGAGACAGGGCAGGCACGCUCCUGACCCGACGUUCUGUCCUAGGGUGCAAAGGAGAAAUGCAAGACCCCAGCAUCAUUUCUGGGAAAUAGGCGGGGUUCCGGUGCGACCCAGGCGCGGCUGGAGGAAACACAGCAUGUGGAAAUCCCCGAAGGAAAACCACGAGCUGAGGCACCGAGAGAAGCCUCUCUCCAUCCCGCGCCACGCUCCCUCCCUUACCGAGCUGCCUGAGGAACUCCAGAGCUGCAGCAGAUGCCGUGUUCCCCACCAACCUUGUCACGCUCGCCCAGGGAGCAAAACUCUCGCAACGACUGAGAAACAGAAGUACUGAUAUCCUCUGCUGAAAUUUCCUGUCGAAGCUGCCACCCACCUGUGGUUCAAUAAACACCAGCCACCUCUCAAGCAAGGUUUGUCACAACAUAAUCUUCUCUCAUCCCUUGAUCUCCACUAGCUAUGGCUGCUCUUCUUCUGGAAACCACCCUCAUUUCUGUGCUACUAGACACCAAAUUGGCUUUCCCAGUGGAUGCAGAACCUUACUAAUCCUUGGACCUUACACCUCUCCCCUGUCACAGAAUCGUAGAAUCGUUUAGGCUGGAAAAUACCUCCAAGAUCAAGUCCAACCAUCAACCCAACUCUGCCAAGUUUGCCACAUGUUUUGGUUUGUGUCAUGGGGCUUGACUGCCCUGAGGACAACAGAACCAGUGUGUGUCCAUCUGGCAGUGAAGUGUGGGAGAGGCUGUAGCAAAAGGCUCAGGGCAGCAGCGUGACUCCUAGCUUCCCUGCGAGGUCCACAGCCGCUUUGGCCAACAGCCCACGGGGCCAUCCAUUUCUCCAGGAACCACAGCCCUGCUCCAAUGCUCCAGCUCGAGAAAUUGGUCUAAUUAGAGAAGAGUGAAAUGCUUCUCCUGCUUGGAGAGUCUCAGGUCCCCAGCCCACUUAAAACUCCACAUAAGCCCAUUAGCACGACAGCGUGUCUCCCCAGAAGGACGCAUCCGCUGGUGCGCCUGGCAGGCGGCCGACCAGCUGUAGCCAGGCUGUCUGGAGGUGCCAAGCAUAACAAUGAACAGCAGCCCCGUGGUGGGGCUGGCAAGGGCAGCUGCAAACUGAGGCACAUUCAGCUGCCCACCUUGCUUCCAGGCAUGGCGUGGUCCUCUUACAGCCCUCCAAGAGACGCUGCUGCGGGCCAAGGAGGUCACAGCAAGGGCUCCUCGGUGCCAAGCAGCUGCAGGACCUCGGUGACUUACCAAAAAUGAAGUCUCGUGGUGAAGAGCACCAGCUAAUAGGUGCCUCAGCUAAAUCAUUGAAUAUUGUACUUUAUUUCUGCCUAAGUGCUGUAUCUCAUGAAGUGUAUCGCGUGGAGUGUUUUCUUCAUGCUGAAUCGAGCUGCAGUUCUACAAACACAGAGUCACUUCAUGCAGGUGAACAGCCCUUUGGAGUCUGGGAGGGAGGCUGCCACGUUCCUUGCUUGCUGCAGCAGGCACAAGCUGCUUUACUAGGUCUUAAUUACAUCCUUGCUAUCCAAAAUUCUUAAAUUUGCCACUAAAGGCAGACAGAAACAAAAAUGUCGCUCUUUUGCAGUUCAGAUAUUUGCAGCCGUGAAUAAUACAUUCACAUACUCAUCUACUAAUGGUUACACUUCUCUAAUUUCUUUCCCCCUCCAGAUAUUUGCAAAAGCGCUUUUCAUAUUCCCAUCACACCUUUAGCAAGCAGUAAGCCAUUCUAUGUUUUGUUGCUCUUACAUCUUCUCUGAAAGCUUUUAUUGACUGCAUGUUGGUUUUGUCUCCUCACCUUUCCAUUUCCCAUCUAGCCUUUUUUUCCCUUUUCUUUUCUUUUUUUUUUUUUUUUUGUUCUUUUGCUGUUGUUGUUUCAAGCCUUCAGAUCUCCAAGAAGUCCCUUGUGGAGCUAUUUUGGUUAUUCCUCAAUGCAGCAGCUGAGAAAUCCCAGAAGAACUAAUGACAGGAACAAUAAAAAAAAGCAGAGUUGGCUCCAGAAUGCAUUGGGAUUAAGGGGUGGGGAGUUCAGUAAAUUAUUGAACUACCUGGAUGAAGAAUUCAUAUCAAAACCUAUUUUGCCUUAGUGCCUGACUCUCAUUUGCAUUUAAGAGCUGUAAGUGUUUUAGGGAUGAGCUCUGAAGCUGCUUCUCUGUUUCCUGCUUCAAAGAGAGGGAUGAGCCACUUCUCUCCUUACAUAAGACGUGUCUGCAGGACUUGGGCCAUCCUUCACACUGAACCAACAAGCAGUGCCUGGCAAGUCCAUUCAGAGAUGAGUUUCUGUUUCUGCCCCCACACCCAUCCUGCAGCAGCACCCACACCACACCUUUAGCCAAGGCUACGCAGGGUGACCCAGCCAGUUUGCUCCACUUUGCCUAAGACUAGGCACAGAGGUAUCCCUUUCCUGGGCUGGUGGCCCUCGCACAGCAGGUCUGGAGAUGGGAUGGAGACAAGGCCCUGGGGCUCUCCCCUCCCCCUGUGCACUCCCCACGUCCAUGGGAUGUCCCCCUCCCAUGCUGUCUGAGCAGGACCCUGCCUGGCUGCCUCAGAGGGCAUGGAUGCACCGGGGGUUUGGCCAUUGUGUGAGCAGGUUUGCAGCCAAGACAGGCGUCGAGGGGCUCCAGCACCAACAGGGGCAGGAGGAGCCCCAAGCACACAGGCACACAAGAGCAGCUACCUGGGGUGCUCCAGUGCCAGCUGGAGCCGCUGCAGUCAGGGACUUUCCCAGUCUCUGAGGCAUGAAACCACUAAUAGCUCUGUUUUGAUCCUACUACUUUGAAAGAAGCCCUGACUUUUCCAAAGAAACCAACUCUCAUCAGAGGUUGGAGGCUGCUGCCUUUGCCCGUUUUCACUUUGGUUGGGAACGCCCUGAGUUGUGUGUCUGGAAAUGCCCAGCUACUUCAAGGAACCUCAGUUUUGGAUGGCUGGGCUUGUGGCUGCUUUUGGAACAAGCCACAGUGGCUUCCCAAGAUAUUUUGGUGGGUGAUGACCACCUUAGUGCUGUAGUAACCACAAGGGUUUUGUGCAGAAGCAUUUCUGUAACUUCUGAAGUGGGAGGUGCAGGGUUGUCUGCCCUUCCUGAUCCUCUCGCUCUCUGAGUCUUGACUUUCCUUGUUACCAGUCCUUUGGACAUCAAAGCAGCUGGGUCACUGAGGACCUUGCUCUGCAGAAAGGGCCUGGUGUUGUUCUGCACCAUCAAUUGUUUUUUGUAAGGAAGAGAAAAACUCUUUGGCCAGCUCAGGCAAAACUAGCAGAAGAAAUUCAGAGUUUCUAGGUCGUGCUGUUUUUGGGAGAUGAGACAAAAAGAAAAAGCAGCUUAGAAGACUCUUGAAACACCUCACAGCGAGAAGGCCAAUGGCCAAGCAUUGCACAUCCCAGAAGAUCGAAUUCUCUUUGACGUGCCUCAGAAACACCUUGUCCCUUCUCACAGGGCUCCUGCUGUUUGCACCGCAGAGAGCCCAUGGGUGAACUGAUGCCUGCUUGGGGGAAGCAUAGAGGGGAAGAUUCACCUCAAGCAAGAAGCUGUAGUGCUGCCUCUGUCCUAUCUGCCCUGGCUCUCUGGAGCAUUUCCAGCCUUUUUCUUUCCAUGCUCCACUGGAGUCUAAUCCUGCAUGCAGAAAAUUCCUCAUGCAUUUUGCUCUUAUUCCUUCAGGGCAUCUGUUUUCUCUUUCAUUCUGUCUGGCUGCUCAACAGCCUGAACUCAGUUACUGUAAUCCCUCCAUCUUCAGUGAUGUUCUCAGCUCCACAUAAUAAAUAUUAACAGCUUACA